rnacentral:rRNA from 1 species
GUGGGGAAUAUUGGGCAAUGGGCGCAAGCCUGACCCAGCAACGCCGCGUGAAGGAAGAAGGCUUUCGGGUUGUAAACUUCUUUUACCAGGGACGAAACAAAUGACGGUACCUGGUGAAUAAGCCACGGCUAACUACGUGCCAGCAGCCGCGGUAAUACGUAGGUGGCGAGCGUUAUCCGGAUUUAUUGGGUGUAAAGGGCGUGUAGGCGGGACAGCAAGUCAGAUGUGAAAACCAGAGGCUCAACCUCUGGCCUGCAUUUGAAACUGUUGUUCUUGAGUGUCGGAGAGGUAAUCGGAAUUACGUGUGUAGCGGUGAAAUGCGUAGAUAUACGGAGGAACACCAGUGGCGAAGGCGGAUUACUGGACGAUAACUGACGCUGAGGCGCGAAAGCGUGGGGAGCAAACAGGAUUAGAAACCCGUGUAGUCC